GAAGGCCCCGCGCCGGGACGGGCAGGUGUGCGAUUUGGAACUGGAAGGAAUCGCUCUGUCCGAGUCCGGCCGGGUACCCGGAGGGGAAGGACGGACUACGGUUCCCGUCGCCCCGCGCGCCGGACGACCCCGGGCGAGUCCUUCGCGGCAGCGGCCGCUCCUUCGUGCCGGACCGUCCUCCUUCCAGGCAGCCGCCCGCGCCUGCUGCGGUCGGUCGGUCUCUCUGCCAGGCCCUCCCCGCGGCCCGCAGCCCUGGCUGGGGCGCCGCCGGUGACCCCAAUCACGGGCGGUAGCAGGCCGCUCCCAAACCCCAAGUCUUUACCUCUUGAGAGGUGGAAACAAUAAAUCUCCUCCCCCGGCCGCAAUUCCUGGGUAAAUUCGGGCCCCGAUCCUCGGCUCGGACCGAAGCUCUUCGCCUUGGCCCCCGCCGGCAGAACCCCGCUCUUAGCGAUCCCAGCUCGCUGCCCUGGCAGCCUGGCUCAGAAACGUGCCGCGGCUUCCCAGCGUCUGGUUAUAAAGCCCAAACUCUUAGCAUACGGUACAAGCACUGUAUGUGCUACCUAGACGCCCAGACUUGACCAGUUUCUUCCAAAAUGUUGAGUAUGGACACCGCACCUGGAAACAACCCUUCCCAGAGAGCGGUCUGGUUCCUCCGCAAAUACCGCACCCCUGCCCUUUCCUGCACCGUCUGUGGCUGCCGCUUGCUGUGGAGUAAGGGACCGGGGAUCCAGACCGGACAGCCAGAUUUCCUGUCGUUGACCCCUAAGGCGGCCCAGUACCCGAUGGACCCAUUUGCCCCGGAGCGGAAAACAAGACCGGGGUUUCCAGGGAAAGCAGCCAUACCUGUUUCAUCAUUGUCAUGGAAACAAGCAAGCAAAUGUCUACAUUGCAGGAAGUGGUGAACAGUGAAUUUGGAACCACACACCUGCCAUUAAAUUCUCGAGUGAGUGGCCCAUUUGAGCUGGUAUUUUCUUAUAAAGGAUUACGUGUCGGGGAAAAGCGACCAGGACAGGUCUAAAUCCAUGGGACCUGUGAAGCAGAGAGUACUAAGUAAUAAGUUAUCGAUGGCAUGAUCCAUUUUGGAAAACAAGUCUGUCUUUAGCUUACUCAUAGAAAAAUAGUUUGUGGGCUUUUGGGUUUAUGUUUUGUUUUGUUUUUUAUUCAGUUUUUCUUAUCAAACUUCUAAGAAAAACAUGGCAUUUUUCUGUCCGAGUGUCCUCGGGCCUGGAGGGGUGUUUAGAUUCUGGCUGCUGAUGUGGGGGCUCCCCCGUACAUGUGGGGCCCAGUCUGUUGUUUAGCUGAUCUGACUCAGUGUCUCAGCCGUUGCCUCACCACCUGGUACGUAAGUAAUUCGGAGGUUAGUUAGACUGAUGACUUAAUUUAUUCAUGUAGUCUGACAUGGUUACUAGAUUGGUCUAGAAGCCACGGAGAUUUUUAUCAUAUGAACUUAAAAUGGAAAGAUACUUGUUCUUAGAAAGUUCCAGUAUUUUGUUUUACAAAGAGCUAUUCUUUCAUUUGAUGCACGUCUCCGUGAGAAAAAUAAACCACGUUACAUUGUAUCUUAUAAAA